GGGGGCGACCAGGUUUCGACUUGUAUAAGUUCUGAUAAGAGCAGCAUGCCGAGGUUAUCAGGAGGCCUCGUAAAACACCUGAUACAAUAUAAUCGCUAAUGAAGAAUUAGCCUUAGCUGCUUAGAUAAGCGGCUACGUUCAUCCUGCCUUUUCCUGCGGGGCGGGAAUGAGCGUCAUUUAGCAGGAUAGCCUGGUUUGUUUAUCUUUUGGCGAAUCAGGUAAAACCAUAAAAAGAUAGCUUCUCUUUCUCCCUGCCUUUCGGGGAAUUAGAAGCGAAUCUUAAAGAAAGGCUAAACAUGUAGAUACUCUUGUUGGAUUGUUCAAGGACCGGGGUUCGAUUCCCCGCGCUUCCACCA
rnacentral:tmRNA from 1 species